GGCUCGGUGGUCUAGGGUAUGAUUCUCACUUCGGGUGCGAGAGGUUCCCGGGUUCAAAUCCUGGCCGAGCCC
rnacentral:tRNA from 1 species